CUCUCCUGACCAGGUGGAGGUGGAGGGCCUCUUUUCUAAACCAAUUUAAAUCUGAAAGUUCCAGGCAAAGAAUUCCAGAUGAAGAGGAAGAAACACAGUGCAUCACAAUUCAGUUGCGGAUGGGCCAAAGCGGACAGGAGAGAUGAAAAGAAUUUUGGAAAGAGAAGAAGCAACAAAUAAAGACCAGAUUUGGUUUUAAAUGGAGAAGACUGAAUCUUUGAUCCAACCAUCAGAUGAGAUACUUUGUCAGAAAGCAUAACUUACCAAUCAUAAUUCAAUCAACAAAUAUGUCUAUUGCUGUUUUUCAUUGUAUGCUCACUAUUUAAGAACAACAGUGACAGAUUUCAAUCAAUGUGCUGACAAAAUAUACAUGCUCAUAA